rnacentral:rRNA from 1 species
ACGGGUGAGUAAUGCCUGGGAAAUUGCCCUGAUGUGGGGGAUAACCAUUGGAAACGAUGGCUAAUACCGCAUAAUGUCUACGGACCAAAGAGGGGGACCUUCGGGCCUCUCGCUUCAGGAUAUGCCCAGGUGGGAUUAGCUAGUUGGUGAGGUAAUGGCUCACCAAGGCGACGAUCCCUAGCUGGUCUGAGAGGAUGAUCAGCCACACUGGAACUGAGACACGGUCCAGACUCCUACGGGAGGCAGCAGUGGGGAAUAUUGCACAAUGGGCGCAAGCCUGAUGCAGCCAUGCCGCGUGUAUGAAGAAGGCCUUCGGGUUGUAAAGUACUUUCAGUCGUGAGGAAGGCGUUGAAGUUAAUAGCUUCAUCGUUUGACGUUAGCGACAGAAGAAGCACCGGCUAACUCCGUGCCAGCAGCCGCGGUAAUACGGAGGGUGCGAGCGUUAAUCGGAAUUACUGGGCGUAAAGCGCAUGCAGGUGGUUUGUUAAGUCAGAUGUGAAAGCCCGGGGCUCAACCUCGGAACCGCAUUUGAAACUGGCAGGCUAGAGUACUGUAGAGGGGGGUAGAAUUUCAGGUGUAGCGGUGAAAUGCGUAGAGAUCUGAAGGAAUACCAGUGGCGAAGGCGGCCCCC